rnacentral:lncRNA from 1 species
ACCUGUAUAUUACCGCUUGUCUUCCAAUUCUGUUCCUCACGAAAAUCCCCAUAAAGAAAAUGCCAAGGUGUACACAGUUUCCAUGAUUGUCCUGGGGCAUUAUGGCAAGGAAAAUGGAUUACAACCCUAUGAAGGGCAGCUAUUAGAGAAGCAAAAGAAAAUUAAACAAAUCUAAAAAAGAGCCAUUUAGCCCUUUACCUUUACAGGGAAGAUUUCCUGUCCAAAUCCAUCCAAACGUUCAACUUCAUUGAUGUACAUCAGUUCAGCUUCUGCUGGCAGGAUU